AUGAACAGAUGGGAUGUGCUGUCUAGGAUUGUUCAACAGUGCAUUUUAUCAGAUGAACCUGAUAUGCCAAUUUGGUCCUUAGAGCCUAAUGGUUUAUACUCUGUGAAAUCCUUUUAUAAAAGUAUAAACUUUGGGGGGAUAGCUUCUGCUAUCAAAGAUGAUCUUUGGAAAAUCAUAUGCCCUCAGAAAAUACAUGUAUUUUUGUGGCUGUGUGCUCAUAAUAAAAUCCUGACCAGGGAUAACCUUUCCAAAAGAAGGGAGGUUGAAGAUCCUUCAUGUCUAUUUUGUGCAGAGCCCGAGUCUGUUCAACAUCUGAUGUUUGACUGUGUAGUUGCUCGACAUGUGUGGAGAUUUGUAUCCGACUUCUUUGAAAUUGAUAGAAUUGCUAGCUUUGAUGAUAUUUUUGCUUUCUGGCAAGUACAUAAGAAAAAGCCUGUGUUUAACAUGGUUAUUGCUGCUUCCUUAUGGAGCUUGUGGAGACUAAGAAAUGGUUUCUGUUUUCAGGGGCAGAAAUGGAGAGACGUGAACUGCAUUCUUACAAAGCUAAGCUGUUAUUUGCACCAGUGGAAGGUUCUCUGCGACGAUGCUCAAGCAAUUCUGCUGCAAAGGUGCAUCCUCCUGCUGGACAAAUGGCAUGGAGAGCUGAUGCGGAUAGCCUGGAAGUGA
rnacentral:rRNA from 1 species